AACGCAAAUUGCGCCCGCGUCUUCGGACAAGGGCAUGUCUGCCUCAGCGUCGGGUUAAUACUCGCACCACAACUCUCUGGGUUGUGUCUCCAAAGUGCGGAUCUGGCUGUCCCAAUCGGGCUUCGGCUCUGGUUGGGUCAGCUGAAGAAGAGAGGUUGACGCAUGGACCCGAUAUGGGCCUCAGCUGGGUAGGCAAUUCGUUGCUAAUGCUUUAGCUGGUGGCUUGUGGACCGUGCAUUUGUCGGCCCAAACCAGGAACCAAGCCUUGUGCUUGGCAUUAACCCAUUUUCUCGACCUGAGCUCAGGCAAGAACACCCGCUGAACUUAA
rnacentral:misc_RNA from 1 species